UCCGCGCGCCCCCGCCCCGGGGAGGCGGAAGGUCGCCGGAAGGGGCGCCGCGCACCAGCCGCGGGCCGGGCGCGCGGGGGCUCUGCGCCUCCCCAAACUGAAAAUCGAAAACGAUCCUUCCGAAGGGGAAGGAUCAAGGUCGUUCGUUUCUGCCCUAAAGUUUCCUGGAAUGAUGCUGAAUUCAUACUGUGGAACAGCCGUUUCAGCCCCCCUUAACUGGAACAGACAUGAUUCCUGCUUUGGAUCCAGAGCUAAGAAAUAAACAACUUCAAGAAUCUUGAAGAGAUGACAAUCCAUCUUCCUUCAACCGGGAUUUUGCAAGAGGGAGCCUGAGACAUCAUCACCUUGCUUUUAUUUUGGACCUAGCUGGCGAUUAUCUUCUGUCUCCAGAAGAGACCACGUUCUGCAUCUGUGAGGUUCACCUUCCAUAAAGGAUUUAGGAUAGAAAUUAAAGAGACGAUGUUCUUAUUAAGAGCCUCAAAUCGGAGGAAGAUGGUAUUUGGGGAGAAGUGGGACAUGACAGACAGACAUUUUGAACAAAGGAUUAUUUAACAAGGACACUCCUGUCUGUGCAGUAAGUCACCACUCAGAGGGAAACCAGUUUGGACAAUUUCAUGAGGAGUUGGCUCUCCCCCUGUCACUUUCCAAAAGGCCUGGCAAAGAUUGUUUUUAAAGGGGUCAGCCUGAAUCCCCAGAAGAACGGCAUGGAACUAGAAGACAAUGAUCUGCCAUUACCAAAGACCAGAGAAACAUGUGGAGUCCAGUGUAAAUUUAUUCAGAAAAUGUCAAAAUUAUUCUAGGAACUAUAGGUGAAAGUGACAGAUGUGCAGAUGAAAAACAGGUAUUUUAAAUUCACAGCUGGGAAAAGGGAAAGGGAGAUUUUUUUUUUCCCCUAUUCAGUCUAACUUUAUGCAUUCAAAUGGGAAAAAGGAUAAUUAGAAGUUAGAAAUUGUUAUUGCAAGAAGAGAGCUCUAAACACUGAAACCAAACUCGGUCUCCCUUAGGGACUAAAUAAGCCUUGAUUUCUAUUGGUAAGAAGAUUGAUACCAAUUCUUGCAAAUCAGGAGGGGGAAUGAUGGAUACUGAUUUUUAUCUUGAGUUAAAAGAGGAACAAGGUUCAUAAUGUGAUGUUUUUGAAAGUCCCAUCAUUGUUUUGUAUGCUUAGUUAAGUUAAGCUAGUUUUAAAAUCUUAGACAAGGUAUGGGAGGUAGGUAUAAUGUCUUCAUUUACAAAAAGGAUGAUGAAUGACCUCAUAGUAACUAAUAUUUAUUGUGCAUUUAUAACAUGUGUUGGGGCAAGGUGUGCAACACUAUUUAUUUCAUUUGAUUGUUACAGUGACUCCCCGAGAUGGGGAAUAUCCUCUUCAUUUUACAGAUGUAAGAGCUGAGCCUUAGGGAUCAAACAGGUGACUUGCCAGGCUCACUGAGCCGGUAAGUAAUGGAGUAUGCCUUGACUCCUGGUCUGUUGAGCCCCAAAUGUAUGACUUUUAUCAUUAUAUACACAGAAACAAGAGCUGAAACUAUAGUCUGAUUCUUGAAACAGUAAAGGAAAUGUGUAUGGUUACAGAUGUCUUAGUUAAGAUGGUAUUCUAAAAGGAAUUAACAUAUGGAUACAUGGCCAAUUUAUAAAUUAUAAUGUAUCAAAAUGCCCACUUAAUAAGGCAGCCAUAGAAAAUAAAGCAAGAAUUCAAUCUUUAAUGUUGUAGAACAUUUAGAGGUCAUUUUUUUCCUUGAACAUCAAUUAUUCUUACAUUACAGAAGAAUGAAAUUGAGCAUGAUAGUAUUUCUUCUUCACCACCCCCCACCUCGUUUUUGUUUUUGUUUUUGUUUUAAGGUAGGGGAGUUAUAAAAACACUGUAUUACUGUCUUGUUUUAGUUGUGGCUUCUGAAAUACUAUAGCACUGAAUUUUUUUUUUCAAGUCAUCACUGAUAACAAAGAGACUCUAAUUGCAACAUAAGUAUCUGAAUCAUAUAGCAAACAGUAACAUUUUCAAUGUUGUUAUAGCAGAGAUACAAGUUAACACAAUAAACUUCUGGUGUGUUUGUGAGGUCUAAGGGCAGAAUCAGGGAGAAAGGAAAGGUCCAGUAUUUCUAAGGAUCCACAGCUAGAAUUCUGGAUUUGGUGAGUCCAAGGAUAUCAGCAUAGUAAGGAGAGCCCAAAUGCAUAUAAAAUUUUGUCUGAAACUAAAGAGUUAUUGAUUAGAUAGAAUUCUCUACAGAAACCCCCUUUUUAGUGAUUCUCUACCACUGAAAAGCAAAGCAACCUGAAAGUCCAAAAGCCUGAACAUUUGAUGAGAAAUUCUCCCCAGAGAGGACCAAUAAAUCUGAGAACUAAUCUGUGAAUCCCAGAGGAAGAAAUCAAGAUGAACCCUGUCAUAUUUAUGAAUUUGGUUAUUACAAUUCUACAAUUUGUCAUAAUGCAGUUGCCUAGGAUUUUAAAAAUCUAUCAGUGAAGGCACCUUACUUUAGAUUAAACCACUUUAUUCUCUCAAUCCUCUUGUUUUUUUUUUUUUUUUGAAGCAAAUACCACACCUGCCCCUCACUAUUCUCUUCUUCAUCCACACCCUCAAAUACACACCACUGAUGGUUGUAUUUUGACAUUAACACACACACACAUACACACAAUUUAUGUUGUACUAAAUGAGAUAGUCAGGUUUAUUCCAGCUUUAAAAUUCUGAAAAUAAAUGCCAAUUAAAAGAAAGUUCUGAUUGUCAGUGAUGGGGAAUGUAAUAUAAUUUGCUCCUACUACUCAUUGCUAUUUAAAUAUAUUCACUAGAAUAAAAAAUUCAAAUACUGUCAAGGAAGUCAUACACUGAUAGCACAGGAAACACUGAAAAUCAUUACUUUCUUCUUUGUGCAUAACUGUCCUCCCUACACCAGAGUCUCAAGUCUUCACUUUCAAGUAUAAAUUAUGUGAAACAGAAAUUUAAGUAAUUUUCUUUUUCUCACUGGUCAGAACAGUGGCCUAAUGAGAUUAAAUUGACCAUAUUUAGCUGUUGUGUGCGUCAGUUCAAGGUGCUAUGUUGCACCGUCAUGCUUCAUCCCCCAGCCCAGCCAUCUCACCCCUGAAAUGUUUGAUUUUAACCCCAAAUGGCAACCCUCAAGACUGGUUAUUUUUUUUUUACACUUACACUGACUCAUAAGUUGUAAGUAGAUCCAAAGCUGACAUUUUCUUCUUUUUCUUUUUUUCUGCUUGUUACUCGACAGAGUCAGCAAAUAAAAGAAGUAAAACGCUGCAUUUGGGAUUUAACAGAUCUUUGGAGAGUGGAGGUUUUGUCUCUGUUUUACACAUGAAACACACGAACUCACAUACACACUCAGAUUGUCCAGUAUUUGAAUAAAUGUACUCUGACGAUUAAAGAAAAACCUGUGAUCUCUAAGUAA